ensembl:lncRNA
AUGAUCUGCUUUUGUCAUUUUUGGAAUACUAAAUACAUACAUGUUUCUGUUCCCGAUGCCUGGAUAGAUUUAUCUGCAGAGCUGACUGGAGAGGGAGGACGGACAGGUGGAGAAGGUGCUGUGGGGCUGACUGGAGAGGGAGGAUGGACAGGUGGAGAAGGUGCUGUGGGGCUGACUGGAGAGGGAGGAUGGACAGGUGGAGAAGGUGCUGUGGGGCUGACUGGAGAGGGAGGAUGGACAGGUGGAGAAGGUGCUGUGGGGCUGACUGGAGAGGGAGGAUGGACAGGUGGAGAAGGUGCUGUGGGGCUGACUGGAGAGGGAGGAUGGACAGGUGGAGAAGGUGCUGUGGAGCUGACUGGAGAGGGAGGAUGGACAUGAGAGGGAGAUUUGCAGCUGAUCAGAGUUGAGGGAUUCAGUGUAUAGGUUUUAUUUUCCAUUAAGAUUUUCCGGAGCUUGUGAGGGACUUUGGGGACAUCUUCACAGUGGGGUCUCAAAUGAUCUGUAUUAAUUUUGGGCAUUUUGACACCCCUCUCAUCUUGAAGAUCUGCACUUUUUCCCUCCAGUGCCACAAUAGUGUAAGGACCCAGGUAGUUAGCCUCCAGUUUUCCCCCUUUCCGCUGUUGGCUUCUCACGUUUUGCCUCCAUACUUUGUCCCCCACUACAAAGGGUUUGCUGGAUGGACACAACCUUUUUCUCAUUUUCUUUUGAGAGGCUUUAAUGUUUGCCUCAGCCUCACGCAAACCUUCACUAAUCCUCAACGCACACUCUGUGACUUGCUCCACAGUUACUGUGUCUUCCACGCUUUCGUGAAUCUAAAAAAAUUAUAUAUUUUUUAGUUUUUAUAAUAAUAUAUAUUUAUUUAAAGGGUUAGCUCCCCUGAAUAGAAAAUUUGAUCAGAUAUUAAUAGCAUAAUUUACUUAAAUUGGGAUUAAACCACUGGAGUAACAUGGGUUGUUUUUUAUUGUGUUUAUGGACAAUUUAAAGAAUGUUUCAUGUAAACAGACUUUCAAUUUCAAAUUCUCUCAGCUUUAGUAAAAAUAUAUUUAUUCUGUUUAAACUUAAAUGAGAAUGAGUAAAUAAUGACAGAAUUUCAUUGUGAGUGGAGGUAAACUAACCCUUUAAGUAGUUAACAUUGAAUUUGUUUUGAAUUUUCAGUUACCCUGUAUUGCUCCGGAACCUCACAAGCAUAACGGGCCUCUCUCCCAAACAUUAAAAAAAAAGGUGAGAACUUUGUUGUCAUUUGCUUUUUCGUCCUAAGUCCAAACAUCACCGCAUCAAGAUGCUUAUCCCAGUCUUUUGUGCGUUCCUUCACAAGCUUGCAAAGGGCUCUGUUGACAUAACAGCAUUGAUUGUGAUGUAUUAUUAACAUAUAGAGCAUAUACAUUACAACAUAUUGUGUGUACAGGUGUUCUUGUAGCCCAGACAGUUAUAUGUUCCUGCAUGUUGUUUUGUUUCCCCUUCUCCCUUGCAUAUAUGUCUAAUGGAUAACCAAUGAGUAGCUGUGCAUUAAAUGAUUAGAGCCAAAGAACUACUCAACAAGCAGUCAUUUGCCAGCAUUGACAAGUUAAGGCUAGUAAAGAUGUUUGCAGUGCAAUAUUUUACAGAAAGGGAAAAAAAAUAUGCUAUUUUUGUCAGUUAUGGCUCAUUGGAUCUAGCAUGUUUUCAUGAUCACUUUAAAUCAGAAACAGAGAUGAAGCAGUGUGGUGAGAUGUUAAGUACAUGCAGAACUGGUUAAUUAGUUUUUGCACAUGAUGGAAUGCAGAUGUUUUUAAACCUAUUUCUUGGGACCCACAGCUAUGCAUGUUUGUAUUUGAAUGUCUCUCUUAUUAACAAACCUGAUACAGAUAACCAGGUCAUUAGGCUCCCAAAUCAUAUCUGUGUCAGAUAUAAGAGAAAACAUGUGCAGUGGGUCCCCUGGACCAGGACUGAAAACUUUUUUUUUUUUUUUUUGUCAAUAUCGCCACAAAUAAUUCUCAGGGAGUGAUCUGAAUUACAAUGUUUUUUUGGGAAAACUUUGCCUGAAGCUAUCUGCCUAAUGUGAACAAAUUGAGUAGGAUAUAUAAAAAGGCACCUUUGAAUUGUCGCAUUCAUCCUUUCCACUAGCCCAUUCGUUUGAGGAUGGUAGGGUGUACAUAAGGAUCGCUUUAUAUUAAGCAUUGCGCACACGUCAAUUCAGCUAUAAUAAAAAAAAAAAAACUUGUUUAGUGACUUUUACA